rnacentral:lncRNA from 1 species
GCAGUAAAAGCCUUGAGCCUGAUGAUUUUGCCAGAGAUGCCAGUGUGGAUGGAGAAAACUCAGAGCCUGUGUCUCAGGGCACUCUGGUGUGAGCAGGAAGGGCAACGAGGAAGAAAAGAGCAACAGAGGCUGGGAGGGAACCACUAGGAAGGGAGAAGAACAAGCAGGAGAGUGUGGGUCUGAUGCUCAAAGUGCUUCGAGGUUGGGGUGACCAGUGGGGUCAGAUGCUGUGGACAGAUCAGGUGGGAAGGAGACUGAAAAUGGGCUGUUGGCACCGUGACGGUCACAGAGUGGUGGACAGACCCUGGCAUGGAGCCCUAACUCGGGCUUCCUCACAGCAUGGCUGCCCUGGGGGCAGUCAGACCGCAGAACAGGGAUCGUCGCAGCGAGUGCGACUCUGCCCUGGGGACACAUAACAUCUGUCACUUUUGCUCACUUGGUCAAAAUACUCACAGAAGCCCACCCUAGUUCACAGGGGAGGGACAUAAACAUUCUCCAUGGGAGGAGUGUCAAGAAUUGACAGAUGUGUUUUAGAUUCACUCCAAGAACUCUGUCAAGGAGUUUUACAAUCAAGACGAACAAAGAAAUUGGGCCCACUGGGGAGAAGUGUGGGUUGAGUGAAUCUGUUCUUUUCCAAGAUGGAAGAAGGCCCUUUCAUGCUUGUCAUGUAUGCUGUUUGAGUUUCCUGGAUGGACACAUGAUGGCAUAUACACGUGGAUGGAAAGAGCCUGGAUGGAUAGUCAGGAAACUAGUGGGACUCAGCAUCUCCAUCUGAAAGAUGAAUGUGGACAGCAUCUGCUUUGAGAGACCCUGUCAGCAAUGGUGGCCACAGUUUUUGAGACCUGAGCAGGCUACAGCCCAUAGGGCUGCGAAGAGCCAGACAGGACUGAGCUUCUGAGCACACAUACCUGUAGCUUCAGCCAUUCCUUGGUGGUUUUUUUUUUUUAGUACUUUUAUAAGCCACAUUCCCUGGGAAGAUCUUUAAUUUUUCUGUGCCAUCCAGAGGCUUCUUAGAGAACAAAACAAUGCUGAUUAAAAAGAGCUGUUAUCGUACGUGUGAAAAGCAAAAUACUAUGUGGGUAUUUUG